rnacentral:misc_RNA from 1 species
UUUCCGUAGGUGAACCUGCGGAAGGAUCAUUACCGAGCGAGGGGCCCCGCCCCAGCUCCCAAACCUUGUGACGGAACCACGUUCCCUCGGCGGGCCCGCCCGGGACCUGGUCCCGGGCCGCCGGCCUCGCGGCUGGUCCGCGCCCGCCAGAGGACCGCUCUAGACCCCUUCCAAACCCCGUCAGCCUCUGAGCACUCACGAGAACAAAUCUCAAAAAACUUUCAACAACGGAUCUCUUGGUUCUG